rnacentral:tRNA from 1 species
GAGUAAGUGCCUGAGAGGUCAAUAGGGGUGGAUUGUAAAUCCAUUAAUAUAUAUAUUUUCAUUGGUUCAAACCCAAUCUUACUCA